GCGGGCAUGGUGGAAUUGGUAUACACACUAGAUUUAGGCUCUAGGACUUUUGGUCGUGCGGGUUCAAAUCCUGCUGCCCGUA